UGAGUAACGCGUGGGUAACCUGCCCUUAAGUCUGGGAUACCAUUUGGAAACAGAUGCUAAUACCGGAUAAAAGCUACUUUGCAUGAAAGAAGUUUAAAAGGCGGCGUAAGCUGUCGCUAAAGGAUGGACCUGCGAUGCAUUAGCUAGUUGGUAAGGUAACGGCUUACCAAGGCGAUGAUGCAUAGCCGAGUUGAGAGACUGAUCGGCCACAUUGGGACUGAGACACGGCCCAAACUCCUACGGGAGGCAGCAGCC
rnacentral:rRNA from 1 species